rnacentral:rRNA from 1 species
AACGAACGCUGGCGGCAGGCCUAAUACAUGCAAGUCGAGCGCGCCCUUCGGGGUGAGCGGCGGACGGGUGAGUAACGCGUGGGAAUAUGCCCUUCUCUAAGGAAUAGCCUCUGGAAACGGAGAGUAAUACCUUAUACGCCCUUUGGGGGAAAGAUUUAUCGGAGAAGGAUUAGCCCGCGUUAGAUUAGGUAGUUGAUGGGGUAAUGGCCUACCAAGUCUACGAUCUUUAGCUGGUUUUAGAGGAUGAUCAGCAACACUGGGACUGAGACACGGCCCAGACUCCUACGGGAGGCAGCAGUGGGGAAUCUUAGACAAUGGGCGCAAGCCUGAUCUAGCCAUGCCGCGUGUGUGAUGAAGGCCUUAGGGUCGUAAAGCACUUUCGCUAGGGAUGAUAAUGACAGUACCUAGUAAAGAAACCCCGGCUAACUCCGUGCCAGCAGCCGCGGUAAUACGGAGGGGGUUAGCGUUGUCCGGAAUUACUGGGCGUAAAGCGUACGUAGGCGGAUUAAUAAGUUAGAGGUGAAAUCCCAGGGCUCAACCCUGGAACUGCCUUUAAAACUGUUAGUCUUGAGAUCGAGAGAGGUGAGUGAAUUCCAAGUGUAGAGGUGAAAUUCGUA